GGACUACUAGGGUUUCUAAUCCUGUUUGCUCCCCACGCUUUCGCGCCUCAGCGUCAGUAUUAUGCCAGAUAGUUGCCUUCGCCAUUGGCGUUCCUUCCGAUCUCUACGCAUUUCACCGCUACAUCGGAAAUUCCACUACCCUCUCAUAUACUCCAGUUACACAGUUUGGUAUGCGCUUCCCAGGUUAAGCCCGGGGCUUUCACAUCCCACACAUCUAACCGCCUACGCGCCCUUUACGCCCAGUAAUUCCGAUUAACGCUCGCACCCUCUGUAUUACCGCGGCUGCUGGCAC
rnacentral:rRNA from 1 species